GACGAACGCUGGCGGCGUGCCUAAUACAUGCAAGUUGAGCGCUGAAGGUUGGUACUUGUACCAACUGGAUGAGCAGCGAACGGGUGAGUAACGCGUGGGGAAUCUGCCUUUGAGCGGGGGACAACAUUUGGAAACGAAUGCUAAUACCGCAUAAAAACUUUAAACACAAGUUUUAAGUUUGAAAGAUGCAAUUGCAUCACUCAAAGAUGAUCCCGCGUUGUAUUAGCUAGUUGGUGAGGUAAAGGCUCACCAAGGCGAUGAUACAUAGCCGACCUGAGAGGGUGAUCGGCCACAUUGGGACUGAGACACGGCCCAAACUCCUACGGGAGGCAGCAGUAGGGAAUCUUCGGCAAUGGACGAAAGUCUGACCGAGCAACGCCGCGGGAGUGAAGAAGGUUGUCGGAUCGUAAAACUCGGUUGGUAGAGAAGAACGUUGGUGAGAGUGGAAAGCUCAUCAAGUGACGGUAACUACCCAGAAAGGGACGGCUAACUACGUG
rnacentral:rRNA from 1 species